rnacentral:rRNA from 1 species
CCCCACUGCUAUCGGGAUAGGACUAAGACAUGCUAGUCGAGUGACUCAGGCAAAACGAGUCACGGCGCACAGCUCAGUAACACGUGGCUAAUCUGCCCUUGAGACGAGAAUAACCCCGGGAAACUCGGGCUAACUCUCGAUAGGCGAAGAACUCUGGAAUGAGUCUUCACCCAAAAAGCUUCACGUUAUCCUCGUGAAGUCGCUCAAGGAUGAGGCCGCGACCGAUCAGGUUGUUGGUGAGGUAAUGGCUCACCAAGCCUUUUACCGGUGCGGGCCGUGAGAGCGGGAGCCCGGAGAUGGGCACUGAGACAAGGGCCCAGGUCCUACGGGGCGCAGCAGUCGCGAAACCUUUGCAAUACACGCAAGUGUGACAGGGUCAUCCCGAGUGCCGACCGCUGAGGUUGGCUUUUACCCAGUCUAGAAAGCUGGGGGAAUAAGGAGAGGGCAAGUCUGGUGUCAGCCGCCGCGGUAAUACCAGCUCUCCGAGUGGUGUGGACGUUUAUUGGGCUAAAGCAUCCGUAGCUGGCUGGACAAGUCCCCUGUUAAACCCACCGAUUUAAUCGUUGGCUUGCGGGGGAUACUGCUGGCUAGGGGACGAGAGAGGCAGACGGUAUUCCCGGGGUAGGGGUGAAAUCCUAUAAUCCCGGGAAGACCACCAGUGGCGAAGGCUGUCUGCUAGAACGCGCCCGACGGUGAGGGAUGAAAGCUGGGGGAGCGAACCGGAUUAGAUACCCGGGUAGUCCCAGCUGUAAACGAUGCAGGCUAGGUGUUUGGACGGCCACGUGCCGUUCUAGUGCCGCAGGGAAGCUGUUAAGCCUGCCGCCUGGGGAGUACGGUCGCAAGAUUGAAACUUAAAGGAAUUGGCGGGGGAGCACCACAAGGGGUGAAGCUUGCGGUUU